AGGGAGCAGGCAUACUGAUGGGGCCAGAAGAGUGCAGUGAAUUUGAUUUGAAGGGGUCUGGACUGUGGUCACCUCUGAGACUUCAGCCAAUGUGAAAACCUAAUUAAAGUGAAGAUGGCCGAGCUCGAAAGAAGUUUCACCUGUUGCGAGGAAUCCAGCACAGAAGGCCUCUAACUAGGAGUCAUUGAAGACAUGAAUUACCCUGGGUACAACAAUAGCGGAUGGAGAGUGAAACUUAGCAUCCAUUUAAAGGCUUUGUCUGUGCAAAAGCUAACUCAAGUAACUUGCCGACUAGCAGGGAAUAAAGAUCUCUCUCUGUGAGAAGCUGCAGUAUUGUGGCUGCAGACACUCUUUCAACUGCCUUCAA